UCCAAUUGUGUCUUCCAUUUCAUCCUCAAUUGUUUCCAUUUGAGAUGAGGACACGGGUUCUGGGAUUUCUCCUUCAUCAGCAUCAACUAUCUCCUCCCCAUCUGGAACAGAAACUGGUUGAGAUAUGUUUUCAAUUUGAGAAUAAAGGUUUUCCAUUUGUGGUGAAGACAAAGAUUCUGUGAUGCCAUCUGCAUCAUGGUCAGGGGUCUCACCAUGUGGUUGAGGAGCUAGUCUAGAAAUACCUUCCUCAUCAAAAUCAGUGGCCUCUCCUUGAGGUAAAGGAACAACUCCAAAUGCGUCUUCUGUAUCAGGGGCUGCUGUCUUUUUUGGUGGUGAUGGCGACUUUCCUGCAAUGUCUUCUUUGUCCGUGUCACUGUCUUCUUUUUGUUGUGGUGGAAUUUGCUCAGUGAUAUCUUCAGUUUCACUUUCAAGUGCGUC